GAUGAACGCUGGCGGCGCGCCUAACACAUGCAAGUCGAACGGCACCUAUCUUCGGAUAGAAGCGAGUGGCGAACGGCUGAGUAACACGUGGAGAACCUGCCCCCUCCCCCGGGAUAGCCGCCCGAAAGGACGGGUAAUACCGGAUACCCCGGGGUGCCGCAUGGCACCCCGGCUAAAGCCCCGACGGGAGGGGAUGGCUCCGCGGCCCAUCAGGUAGACGGCGGGGUGACGGCCCACCGUGCCGACAACGGGUAGCCGGGUUGAGAGACCGACCGGCCAGAUUGGGACUGAGACACGGCCCAGACUCCUACGGGAGGCAGCAGUGGGGAAUCUUGCGCAAUGGGGGGAACCCUGACGCAGCGACGCCGCGUGCGGGACGGAGGCCUUCGGGUCGUAAACCGCUUUCAGCAGGGAAGAGUCAAGACUGUACCUGCAGAAGAAGCCCCGGC
rnacentral:rRNA from 1 species